CCGACUUCAAUUACAUCGACGAGUAAUACAACGUAGAUCGACGAAAAAAUACUCAAGUAACUGCGCGUUAUCAAAGAUUACUCAAAAAGUAGUUAUCAGGUCUCAAUGAAAUUUAUAUGUGACCACAUGACAAACAUCAGCUUUCGAUUAAAUUAAAAAUUAUUAAAAUCGGUACACCCAGUAAAAAGUUAUUGCGGAUUUUCAAGAAUUUCUAUCAAUUUCUCUGGGAUCCCAUCAUCAGAUCCUGGUUUCCUUAUCGUGAUACCAAACUAGAGAUAUUUCCUUUCCAACAAAAAAAGAAUUAUCAAAAUCGGUACAUCCAGUAGAAAGUUAUGCGGUAUAAUACAACGUAGG
rnacentral:misc_RNA from 1 species